GGAGCACGUGCUCCACAGCUGCUGCAUUUCCUGCUUUCGAGAUGCUAUCAACACUUUCAUCACAUCGUCGAUUGAAGCUUUCUCCACCAUGCUCGCAAGUUGUUUCUGUCCAUCAACGAGUUCAAAGAAGAAGAGGAGGAGAAAAAUGGCUGGAUGCCUUCUCUUAUUUAAUUUAAUCUUUAUUUUUUCUAUCUAUUUUUUGUUUUCUCAACUUAUUUCGUCCUUUAUCUUUCCUCUAAAUCAAGCAUAUAAUUAAUGUUAAGUUUUAUCAUACAAAUUAUCCUUGAAGUUAUAGCUUUAAUUACAUAACAAUAUGAAAAAUAUUUAUUAAAUUAUAUGUAAACUUUAUCUGAUUAUUAAAUUUGCCCUUAAAAUGGUUGGCAGUGAAAAACUGAAGAAACGAGUGUCAAAGAAAAUGAGGAAAUCAUAUAAUUUAUUUUUGGUUUAGAAAGAGGUUUAACUUGUUGAAACAUUAUGUAAGUUGGUUCUUAAAGUAAGAAAAUAUGCAUUCGAACAAGUAAUGUUUCAGGCAGAAAAGGAUCAGGAAACUCAAUCUAUUUAUAAUGCCAUGCAAACUGCCAGUUUAUCAGAGAAAACAGCGGGUUGGUGAGUUUUCUAUGAAGAGUUUUGGAAAUUUUAAGAUUGUUUUUGCUGCAAAAUGAAAAAAUAGAGGGAAGAGAAAAUCUAAUAAUAGAUAUUUUGCUAAAGUAAUGUAGGAGCAGCAAAUUCUUUUAAGUUUUAAUUAGCUUGUUCUCUUUUCACCCAAAUGAGGAAAGGAAAUGAUUUGGAGUGCUCGCUAUGGGGAAGACAAGAUUGAUGUAUAUUUAUUUAUUAUCUUGAUUUGGGAAAUGCAUCAUAAAGGGUCAAGAAUGUUUCUCAAAUAUACUACAUG